rnacentral:rRNA from 1 species
AGAGUUUGAUCCUGGCUCAGAGUGAACGCUGGCGGCAUGCCUAACACAUGCAAGUCGAACGGUAACAGGCCCGCAAGGGUGCUGACGAGUGGCGGACGGGUGAGGAAUACAUCGGAAUUUGCCCAGUCGUGGGGGAUAACGUAGGGAAACUUACGCUAAUACCGCAUACGACCUAACGGUGAAAGCGGGGGAUCAGCAAUGACCUCGCGCGGAUGGAUAAGCCGAUGUCGGAUUAGCUAGUUGGCGGGGUAAGAGCCCACCAAGGCGACGAUCCGUAGCUGGUCUGAGAGGAUGAUCAGCCACACUGGGACUGAGACACGGCCCAGACUCCUACGGGAGGCAGCAGUGGGGAAUAUUGGACAAUGGGGGCAACCCUGAUCCAGCAAUGCCGCGUGUGUGAAGAAGGCCUUCGGGUUGUAAAGCACUUUUAUCCGGAACGA